ensembl:lncRNA
GUUGCAAUGAAAAAAAUGGGGUUUAUUUUCUGACAGUAAAAAAUGACACUGUGGAUCAGAAAUCUGCAAAAUAUGCAAUGAAAAAAAUAAAUCUGCAUCAAAAAGGUUUACACUGUAAUUCUUACUUUUUAUACAAACAUUAGAAACAGUAUUGCACGUCACAACACAGAUUCGAGGUUAGUCAGCCUUUCAAAAUGUGUUAUAUUCAAGUUUCAGAGCAUCUAUGAGGAGAGGCAGUGCGGGCCUCGAUGCAACAGGCGGAGAACCUCAAGUUUCUUCCAUGAAUAUAAUAGAACCCUCAAUGUUUCCUUCCUUCAAAUAAAAGGUGUAGCGGUGUACUUAUUGUUAACCUUGUUGAUAUAUUAAAACAGUUAUAUAUUAGUACAUCAAUUAACAAGAUUUGGAAAAAUCUUUUGUUUCUUUUUGUCAUUCAACAGAGCCCUGCUUCUGGACAGAAUUAGAAUAUUAGGGGAACUAAAAUGUGUGUAACAAUAAGAACAAUAAUAAUAAACAUAUUUGAAAUAGAAAAAUACAAUCAAAAUCAAAUAGUUAUUUGUCUACAAAAAUAGUGAAAUAAAUAUGAUUUUUACAAAAACAAAGACACGCGCAUACAAAGUAACAGUGAUCAACAUAUCAAAUAGGACCAAUUACUCAGCAAACUGCACAAGGAGUCACGUGUUACAAGACUAGGGUGACAACAUACAAGCGAGCUCUGUUCUGUUCUGAGCACACCAACCGCACCAUGAGAGCCCGGGCCACAGGGACUGGGUACACGCAGUGUGGGAGGAAGCUAAAGGAUCCUUCAUUUUCUCUGGAGCAGUUACUCAUCAUUUUGUUGGCCACCAUUUUCUAGAGAGCCAGUUACUGUAACACAGCACCCGGUGGCUCGCCUACCUUCUUUGCCUGUAACCACGAGACUCCCUCUGAAUAUAUUAGAAAAUAUUAGAUUACUGCGUAAUUCACAUAGAAAAAACUAAGACCACCGCGUCCACACACAAUUUCUCAAAUAAGUCAUUAUGAAAAUAUAAAAUGUAAUAAAUCAUCUGGUAGAAUUAUAAAUAGGCAGAAGUUCGGUAGAAGUGAUUAAAUAAGCAAAACAGGCUGUUGUCCAAAUCAAGUCUGCAUUGAAUCAGCAAACAAACUACUGGGGCAAAAAUCUGUCAAGAAUCAAAUAAUCCAAGGGAAAAUACAAAAAAAACAUAGUGCAUAAUAUAGUACUAUCAAAAGAGAUGCUUGGGACAGAAAGCGGGGUCACGAGUUCGAGACAUAAACAGUCUAAAAAUAUGCAAAUUAAUCAACAUAAAAUCUCAGCGUCUGUAUAGAAGUAAUAAUAGAAGUACACACUUGAACCACGGACACUAAGGACUCAACACCAGCCCAUGAAACACUGAAACCCCUAUGACACAGAGACAACAGGGAUAUUAUAGUGGAGUGAUACAGACAGCUACAGUACCAAACUGCUGGUUAGCUAAUAGAUCAGCAGGUUAUCGUUCACAGAGAAAGAAAGAGAGGAAGAAAGAGGGAAAAGAGAUUGUCCCUAUAAAAGAGUAAUUAAGAGCAAUGUCCUCACAGAUUAAAAAAACAAACAAACUAAGAACACAAUAUUUCAUAUUCUUCAGACCCCAAACCAUUAAUAUAAUUUCCUCCCUCAGUGAAAAUGUAUGAACUCUGGGGGUUGUGCCUUUGUUAUCUUUUAUUAGCAAGGAAAUAAAACCACUUUCUGCAGGUCUGAAAUCUCUUAAUUUGUAUCGACCCAACGUACAACAUCCUGUUUGUGUUGUAUCCAAUAGCAGAAUUCAGAAAGUAGCCGGUUAACACAACUCAGAAGCAAAUGCUGGACAAAUGCUUCCUCACACAUCCUUCACCAUGACAACAUUUAAUCAGUGGUAUAGAUCGGCCAACAAGAGUGUACUGCGCCACACACCUCCUCUGUCCUCUGCCUGUAGCAAGCUGAUCCAGCCUGGCUGUUGUGGAUACUUUUGGUCUGCUGGUCUGCUAAAGGCUACGCUACAUUAGCAUUGUAACACUAAAAUGUAGGGGGGAUAUGAAGGGGAAGGCAAAGUAUUGUGAAGUCGUCAUUCUCCUAUGUCUAGAUUGGAACCUAACUAAAACCUCAGUCCACACACUAACGAGACCCGCACACACAGCACAGAGACGACACAGACACCCACCACUGACAGAACACCACACCACUUCUCUACAGAUUUCAUUACUCCUCACAAACCACCACGUCACAAAAUGGCGGCGUUCACUAGUCUAGAACCAACAUUUCUUUAUUUGUAUAAUAAGUGUGUAAACGGACCAAACAACUGAUCAACAUCGACGCAUGCACGACUUU